GAUGAACGCUGGCGGCGUGCUUAACACAUGCAAGUCGAACGAAGCAUUUAAGACAGAUUACUUCGGUUUGAAGUCUUUUAUGACUGAGUGGCGGACGGGUGAGUAACGCGUGGGUAACCUGCCUCAUACAGGGGGAUAGCAGCUGGAAACGGCUGGUAAUACCGCAUAAGCGCACAGUACCACAUGGUACAGUGUGAAAAACUCCGGUGGUAUGAGAUGGACCCGCGUCUGAUUAGCUUGUUGGCGGGGUAACGGCCCACCAAGGCGACGAUCAGUAGCCGAACUGAGAGGGUGACCGGCCACAUUGGGACUGAGACACGGCCCAGACUCCUACGGGAGGCAGCAGUGGGGAAUAUUGCACAAUGGAGGAAACUCUGAUGCAGCGACGCCGCGUGAGUGAAGAAGUAGUUCGCAAUGUAAAGCUCUAUCAGCAGGGAAGAUAGUGACGGUACCUGACUAAGAAGCUCCGGCUAAAUACGU
rnacentral:rRNA from 1 species